GAUAGCAGCUCUCCAGUUGCUGACAUACAACGGUCCCUGUUCUUUGUUUCCAGUGGUGACAGGCAGAGCGGAUGGUGGCUGUUUCAGUGGGUGCUCCUUACAUUCACACCUGGUUAAGUGCCUUGUUCAAGGACCCCUUGGCAGGGUGGAUGCUUUAUCACCACGGGGAACUAAUCCUGGGCCCAUGACUGAAGAGCAAGGGACCUUUUGUUAAGUACCUGGGGCUCUAAUAAGAGCUAUACUCAGUAUUUGAAGGUCUUCCGCCGGGUCUUAUCAGCUUUCCUCAGACUACGGACUGUGACUCAUUCACGAGGCCGUCAUCUGACACAUCUGAAGCCCAUCGAUGUGGCUGUGAAUGUUAACUUCUGAGGAUUCAACUGCUGUCCAUCUCCAACUAAAUGCAGCUACAGUCGCUCUGCUCUCAAAAGACUUGUACCUUUCACAGACCUCUGAGUGUGUGUGUGUGUGUGUGUGUGUGUCUCUGAGUGUGUG